GAUCAUGGCUCAGGAUGAACGCUAGCUACAGGCUUAACACAUGCAAGUCGAGGGGCAGCAUUUUUAUAGCAAUAUAAAAGAUGGCGACCGGCGCACGGGUGAGUAACACGUAUCCAACCUGCCGAUAACUCGGGGAUAACCCUUCGAAAGAAGGCCUAAAUACCCGAUGGCAUAUCCCUUCCGCCUGGUGGGGAUAUUAAAGAACUUCGGUUAUCGAUGGGAUGCGUUCCAUUAGCUUGUUGCGGGUAACGG
rnacentral:rRNA from 1 species